rnacentral:rRNA from 1 species
UACGUAGGGGGCAAGCGUUGUCCGGAUUUAUUGGGCGUAAAGAGCGUGUAGGCGGCCAGGUAGGUCAGCUGUGAAAACUCGAGGCUCAACCUCGAGACGUCGGUUGAAACCAUCUGGCUAGAGUCCGGAAGAGGAGAAUGGAAUUCCUGGUGUAGCGGUGAAAUGCGCAGAUAUCAGGAAGAACACCGAUGGCGAAGGCAGUUCUCUGGGACGGUACUGACGCUGAGACGCGAAAGCGUGGGGAGCGAACAGG